AGGUCCUCCGGCACUGCUGCUCCUCUCCACGCACACUGGAAGUUCUACUAAAUACCUACAGUAAACUGCGAGGCACCGACGACUGGGCGGAGGACGUCCCCGAGGAAGAACUGCAGAAAAACCCCGUCUUCUUCCAGUCGGUAUUCUCACUUUCUCGCAGUCCACGCUCUCUCCAGCACCUGUGUCGCUGUUCUCUGCGCUCACAUCUUGAAGGGAGACUCCCGGAUACACUCCCCAAGUUACCUCUCCCACCUCCGCUCUUGCAGUUUGUACAACUUGGUUUUGAAGGUGUCCUGUACUGAAAGAUAAAGUGGGAGAUAAAACUGUCCGGAGCGCACCCUUUGCUUGUAUUAUAGCAUAUAUUAUACAUAUGUAAUACUGUG